AGAUUAGCAAAAAAGAAAAAUGAACGUUAACCACGGAGAUGAAACUGAAGUUAACCACGGAGAUGAAACUGAAGUUGACAAUGAUGGGGAAGAU
rnacentral:lncRNA from 1 species